AGGGAUGUAGCUCAACCGGUAGAGCGUUUAUCUAUGUGUGAAAAAGGUACGGGGUUCAACUCCUCGCAUCUCUA
rnacentral:tRNA from 1 species